rnacentral:rRNA from 1 species
AGCGGCGAACGGGUGAGUAACACGUGAGAAACCUGCCCCGGACUCUGGGAUAACACGAGGAAACUCGUGCUAAUACCGGAUACCUUCUUUUGACCGCAUGGUCAGCUGAAGAAAGAUUUAUCGGUUUGGGAGGGUCUCGCGGCCUAUCAGCUAGUUGGCGGGGUAACGGCCCACCAAGGCAUCGACGGGUAGCUGGUCUGAGAGGACGAUCAGCCACACUGGGACUGAGACACGGCCCAGACUCCUACGGGAGGCAGCAGUGGGGAAUCUUGCGCAAUGGGCGAAAGCCUGACGCAGCAACGCCGCGUGCGGGAUGAAGGCCUUCGGGUUGUAAACCGCUUUCAGCAGGGAAGAAAUUGACGGUACCUGCAGAAGAAGCCCCGGCCAACUACGUGCCAGCAGCCGCGGUAACACGUAGGGGGCGAGCGUUGUCCGGAUUUAUUGGGCGUAAAGAGCUCGUAGGCGGUUCGGUAAGUCGGGUGUGAAACCUCCAGGCUCAACCUGGAGACGCCACCUGAUACUGCUGUGACUAGAGUCCGGUAGGGGAGUGUGGAACUCCUGGUGUAGCGGUGAAAUGCGCAGAUAUCAGGAAGAACACCAGCGGCGAAGGCGGCACUCUGGGCCGGUACUGACGCUGAGGAGCGAAAGCGUGGGUAGCAAACAGGAUUAGAUACCCUGGUAGUCCACGCCGUAAACGUUGGGCACUAGG